AGUGAACGCUGGCGGUAGGCCUAACACAUGCAAGUCGAGCGGCAGCACAGUAAGCGCUUGCUCUUGAUGGUGGCGAGUGGCGGACGGGUGAGGAAUACAUCGCAAUCUACUUUUUCUUGGGUGAUAACGUAGAGAAACUUCCGCUAAUACCUCAUACGAUCUACGGGUUAAAUCAGAAGAUCUUCACACCUUUGCCGUCUGAUAUAGCCGGUGUCGCAUUAGCUAGUUGGCGGGGUAAGGGCCCACCAAGGCGACGAUCCGUAGCUGAUCUGAGAGGAUGAUCAGCCACACUGGAACUGAGACACGGUCCAGACUCCUACGGGAGGCAGCAGUAGGGAAUCUUGGGCAAUGGGCGCAAGCCUGAUGCAGCAAUACCGCGUGGGUGAUGAAGGUCUUCGGGUCGUAAAGCUCUGUUGUUAGGGAAGAACAUCUGUAUAUGUAUCUCUGGACGUCUUGACGGUACCCAAAGAGUAAGCACCGGCUAACUACGUG
rnacentral:rRNA from 1 species